rnacentral:rRNA from 1 species
UACGUAGGUGGCAAGCGUUGUCCGGAUUUAUUGGGUUUAAAGGGUGCGUAGGCGGUUCUAUAAGUCAGUGGUGAAAUCCGGCAGCUCAACUGUCGAUGUGCCAUUGAUACUGCAGAACUUGAGUACAGACGAGGUAGGCGGAAUUGACGGUGUAGCGGUGAAAUGCUUAGGUAUCGUCAAGAACACCGAUAGCGAAGGCAGCUUACUAGACUGUAACUGACGCUGAUGCACGAAAGUGUGGGGAUCAAACAGG